rnacentral:rRNA from 1 species
UACGUAGGGCGCAAGCGUUGUCCGGAAUUAUUGGGCGUAAAGAGCUCGUAGGCGGCCUGUUACGUCUGCUGUGAAAUCCCGGGGCUUAACCCCGGGCGUGCAGUGGAUACGGGCAGGCUGGAGGCAGGCAGGGGAGAACGGAAUUCCCGGUGUAGCGGUGAAAUGCGCAGAUAUCGGGAGGAACACCGGUGGCGAAGGCGGUUCUCUGGGCCUGUACUGACGCUGAGGAGCGAAGCGUGGGGAGCGAACAGG